GGUGAACGCUGGCGGCGUGCCUAACACAUGCAAGUCGAGCGGGUACCCGCAAGGGUACCAGCGGCGCACGGGUGAGUAACACGUGGGUAAUCUACCCCUCGGAGGGGGAUAACCGGGGGAAACCCCGGCUAAUACCCCAUACGAUCCGGCAACGAAGGUUGCUGGAUGAAAGGGGCGUUUGCUCCGCCGAGGGAUGAGCCCGCGGCCCAUCAGGUAGUUGGUGGGGUAAUGGCCCACCAAGCCUACGACGGGUAGCCGGCCUGAGAGGGUGGUCGGCCACAAGGGCACUGAGACACGGGCCCUACUCCUACGGGAGGCAGCAGUGGGGAAUCUUGGACAAUGGGCGAAAGCCUGAUCCAGCGACGCCGCGUGGGGGAUGAAGCCCUUCGGGGUGUAAACCCCUGUUGCGAGGGAGGAAUAAGGCCUGGAGGAGAUGCCAGGCCGAUGACUGUACCUCGCGAGGAAGCCCCGGCUAACUACGUGCCAGCAGCCGCGGUAAUACGUAGGGGGCGAGCGUUACCCGGAUUCACUGGGCGUAAAGCGGGUGUAGGCGGCUCGGUAAGUCGGGUGUGAAAUCCCACAGCUCAACUGUGGAAUUGCGCCCGAAACUGCUGAGCUUGGGGCCGGUAGAGGGAGACGGAACUGCCGGUGUAGGGGUGAAAUCCGUAGAUAUCGGCAGGAACGCCGGUGGGGAAGCCGGUCUCCUGGGCCGCGCCCGACGCUGAGACCCGAAAGCUAGGGGAGCAAACC
rnacentral:rRNA from 1 species